rnacentral:rRNA from 1 species
GUGUCAGCCGCCGCGGUAAUACGUAGGUGGCGAGCGUUAUCCGGAAUUACUGGGCGUAAAGCGCACGCAGGCGGCUCUUUAAGUCUGACGUGAAAGCUCCUGGCUUAACUGGGAGAGGACGUUGGAAACUGAAGGGCUUGAGGCGAUGAGAGGGGUGCGGAAUUCCCGGUGUAGUGGUGGAAUGCGUAGAUAUCGGGAGGAACACCAGUGGCGAAAGCGGCACCCUGGCAUUGACCUGACGCUCAGGUGCGAAAGCGUGGGGAGCGAACGGGAUUAGAUACCCCGGUAGUCCACGCCGUAAACGAUGAACACUAGGUGUGGGUGGAGUUAAAUCUAUCCGUGCCGAAGCUAACGCGCUAAGUGUUCCGCCUGGGGAGUACGGCCGCAAGGCUAAAACUUAAAGGAAUUGGCGGGG